rnacentral:misc_RNA from 1 species
UCUCCGUUGGUGAACCAGCGGAGGGAUCAUUACAGGACUCGCAAGACUCCUUCACCCUGUGAACUUCACUACAAGCACGUUGCUUCGGCGGGUGUCCCGGCGGGGGUUUUCCCUCGCCGGGGCGCACAGCCCGCCGGCAGCCUACUAUACUCUGUCUCUUUGCGUUGGCAUCUCGAGAAAAAACAAACAAGUUAAAACUUUCAACAACGGAUCUCUUGGUUCUG